CAUACCACCAACACCAGGAAGUUGCAUUGGAAGCCUACUCAAGCAGCUUUGACAUCCAGUUUCCACCUUCCUAUGCGUAGCUUUGAGGCUAAGAACAGGACUUCCACAGAUGACGUAAAACGUCUGAGAUUGAUAACUGCCAUUAAGACACCAUACCUACCCGAUGGUCGCUUUGAUCUUGAAGCAUAUGAUACCUUAGUAAAUUUGCAGAUUGAAAAUGGAGUUGAAGGUGUCAUUGUUGGUGG